rnacentral:rRNA from 1 species
GAUGAACGCUGGCGGCGUGCCUAAUACAUGCAAGUCGAGCGAACGGACGAGAAGCUUGCUUCUCUGAUGUUAGCGGCGGACGGGUGAGUAACACGUGGAUAACCUACCUAUAAGACUGGGAUAACUUCGGGAAACCGGAGCUAAUACCGGAUAAUAUUUUGAACCGCAUGGUUCAAAAGUGAAAGACGGUCUUGCUGUCACUUAUAGAUGGAUCCGCGCUGCAUUAGCUAGUUGGUAGGGUAACGGCUUACCAAGGCAACGAUGCAUAGCCGACCUGAGAGGGUGAUCGGCCACACUGGAACUGAGACACGGUCCAGACUCCUACGGGAGGCAGCAGUAGGGAAUCUUCCGCAAUGGGCGAAAGCCUGACGGAGCAACGCCGCGUGAGUGAUGAAGGUCUUCGGAUCGUAAAACUCUGUUAUUAGGGAAGAACAUAUGUGUAAGUAACUGUGCACAUCUUGACGGUACCUAAUCAGAAAGCCACGGCUAACUACGUGCCAGCAGCCGCGGUAAUACGUAGGUGGCAAGCGUUAUCCGGAAUUAUUGGGCGUAAAGCGCGCGUAGGCGGUUUUUUAAGUCUGAUGUGAAAGCCCACGGCUCAACCGUGGAGGGUCAUUGGAAACUGGAAAACUUGAGUGCAGAAGAGGAAAGUGGAAUUCCAUGUGUAGCGGUGAAAUGCGCAGAGAUAUGGAGGAACACCAGUGGCGAAGGCGACUUUCUGGUCUGUAACUGACGCUGAUGUGCGAAAGCGUGGGGAUCAAACAGGAUUAGAUACCCUGGUAGUCCACGCCGUAAACGAUGAGUGCUAAGUGUUAGGGGGUUUCCGCCCCUUAGUGCUGCAGCUAACGCAUUAAGCACUCCGCCUGGGGAGUACGACCGCAAGGUUGAAACUCAAAGGAAUUGACGGGGACCCGCACAAGCGGUGGAGCAUGUGGUUUAAUUCGAAGCAACGCGAAGAACCUUACCAAAUCUUGACAUCCUUUGACAACUCUAGAGAUAGAGCUUUCCCCUUCGGGGGACAAAGUGACAGGUGGUGCAUGGUUGUCGUCAGCUCGUGUCGUGAGAUGUUGGGUUAAGUCCCGCAACGAGCGCAACCCUUAAGCUUAGUUGCCAUCAUUAAGUUGGGCACUCUAAGUUGACUGCCGGUGACAAACCGGAGGAAGGUGGGGAUGACGUCAAAUCAUCAUGCCCCUUAUGAUUUGGGCUACACACGUGCUACAAUGGACAAUACAAAGGGCAGCGAAACCGCGAGGUCAAGCAAAUCCCAUAAAGUUGUUCUCAGUUCGGAUUGUAGUCUGCAACUCGACUACAUGAAGCUGGAAUCGCUAGUAAUCGUAGAUCAGCAUGCUACGGUGAAUACGUUCCCGGGUCU